UCAAUAUCUUUGAGAAAAAAAAAAAUUAAUUUUGGAAAAAAAUAAGUACCUUUAGGAAGUUUUAAUAUGGCGUUUUGGGAUUUUAUAAGUGUAGUUUUCCAAAAAAAAAUAUCAAACGGUGAUGUGAUUCGACGUCGAAUGUACUAAAAAAACGCGUUUUUGACCUGUUUAUAUCCAAGUAUUACAAAAACGUGACUUGCCAGUGAAUUUUUGAUUUCGGAUUCUGAGUGAGCAUAUCCUUAGUAGGGUUUGGAUCAGAAAAACAAUUAUUUUCGAGACGAAAGAAAUUGAAAAUGAUGAAACUUAAAAAUACUUUCUAUAAGAGGGCAUCAAAAAAAUUGUUAUUCAAAGUAUAGUAAAAAAUAUCCAAACUGUAACUCAAUUGUCGUUAUAUCAAAUUUGACGAUUACACGACUUUUGUUAAAUUGUGGGAGUGGCAGUGGACAAAAGAUUUACUUUUUAUUAUGCCUAGUACUGUUCCUUAUGAUGGCUUAAAAUUUUAUAUAAAUCGGUUGGCUGGUUCGGGAUUUAUAGCUUAACACAAAUUUAUGCUGACCCACCGUACACUGUGGUGUAUGCGCACUAUUUUUUUCUAACGAAAUAAAACAUUUUCUGGAUUUUGUUUUUGAUUA